AACGAACGCUGGCGGCAGGCCUAACACAUGCAAGUCGAGCGGUCAUCUUCGGAUGUUAGCGGCGGACGGGUGAGUAACGCGUGGGAACGUGCCCUUUGCUUCGGAAUAGCCUCGGGAAACUGGGAGUAAUACCGGAUGUACCCUUUGGGGGAAAGAUUUAUCGGCAAAGGAUCGGCCCGCGUUGGAUUAGGUAGUUGGUGGGGUAAUGGCCUACCAAGCCGACGAUCCAUAGCUGGUUUGAGAGGAUGAUCAGCCACACUGGGACUGAGACACGGCCCAGACUCCUACGGGAGGCAGCAGUGGGGAAUCUUAGACAAUGGGGGAAACCCUGAUCUAGCCAUGCCGCGUGAGCGAUGAAGGCCUUAGGGUUGUAAAGCUCUUUCACCGGGGAAGAUAAUGACGGUACCCGGAGAAGAAGCCCCGGCUAACUCCGUG
rnacentral:rRNA from 1 species